GGAAUUGUAGAUAAUCUUUGGAGAUUAAGCGGAGGAUGUGGCAGAUUGGAGUCUGAUAUUGUUGAGAGAUAAAGCGUUUUACUUUGAGAAAUUUGAUAAAUUCACAAGGGUGCAUCUCUGGAGAUUUUUCCGAUUUCUGGUUGAUGUAUGGAUGAAGACCUUUCUCCUUGUAUUAUGCACUGUCUUACGUAUAUUUCAUAUUUAUAUUCAUUUGGAAUUCUUUGACUGCGAGUUUUCCACUUAGUUUGAAGAAAUUGCUAGAAACGAGUAGAAGGAUCAUCUAAAUACUGGAGACACGGUGUAAUAUAUUCUAAAGAACUUCGGAUUAUACUUGGUGGUAAUUGAAGUAGAUCUCCCUUUAUCAGAAGAAGCGAUAGUCCUUUUCGAUGUUUUUCUUCGAAGUAAGUUUAAACAAAGCAAAUUUCAUUUAUUUUUUUACUCGCUCGCAAAGACAAAUUAUGAUUUCUCAGAUAAGUUUGAUGUGACUAAUUCCAAUUUCUCGUAAUGUCAG
rnacentral:misc_RNA from 1 species